rnacentral:sRNA from 1 species
CACCGCCUGGGGAGUACGACCGCAAGGUUAAAACUCAAAUGAAUUGACGGGGACCCGCACAAGUAGUGGAGCAUGUGGUUUAAUUCGAAGAUACGCGCAGAACCUUACCAACACUUGACAUGUUCGUCGCGACUUUAAGAGAUUAAAGUUUUCGGUUCGGCCGGACGAAACACAGGUGCUGCAUGGCUGUCGUCAGCUCGUGUCGUGAGAUGUUGGGUUAAGUCCCGCAACGAGCGCAACCCUCACUUUUAGUUGCCAUCAUUAAGUUGGGCACUCUGAAAGAACUGCCAGUGAUAAGCUGGAGGAAGGUGGGGAUGACGUCAAGUCCUCAUGGCCCUUACGUGUUGGGCUACACACGUGCUACAAUGGUAUCUACAACAGGAAGCAAGACUGCGAAGUUAAGCAAAUCCUUAAAAGAUACCUCAGUUCGGAUUGCACUCUGCAACUCGAGUGCAUGAAGCUGGAAUUACUAGUAAUCGUGGAUCAGCGUGCCACGGUGAAUGCGUUCCCGGGUCUUGUACACACCGCCCGUCACACCAUGGGAGUUGGUUCUACCUUAAGGCAAGGUUUCAAACCCUUGACCACGGUAUAGUCAGCGACUGGGGUGAAGUCGUAACAAGGUAGCCGUAGGGGAACCUGCGGCUGGAUUACCUCCUUUCUAAGGAUGAAUGAAAGUAAAAUUUCAUUCUAAAUAAUAUACAUCGGUAAUGUUGACCGUCCUCAUUUCUCUUCUUAAAAGUAGUGUUUCUCUUGCAUGGGGGCCGGUAGCUCAGUUGGUUAGAGCACACCCUUGAUAAGGGUGGGGUCGAAAGUUCGAGUCUUUCUCGGCCCACCAAAGAAAGAUCAUGGGGGAUUAGCUCAGCUGGGAGAGCGCCUGAUUUGCAUUCAGGAGGUCAGCGGUUCGAUCCCGCUAUCCUCCACCAAAAACACUUAGUUAUAAAAAAUUGUAAAUAAAAAUAAUAAUUAAUAUCAAUAUCUAUAUCCGAACAUUAGUAAUGUUAUUAGCUAAUGUUCAAAAUAAAAAUUUGAUUCAACACAGAAUUUUUUUCUG